rnacentral:lncRNA from 1 species
GAAGCCAACCGUCCUCGGUUUCCUGGCCUGUGGCAUCAGUCUGGUUGGAUUACACACAAAGCCCUGCAGAUCUGCUGCUUUUCCUGAUUCUCCUGUCCUGAGUGAGUGCAAGGGGCUCCCCUGUCGCCGAUGUGUUCUUUGAAGCAGAUGCUGUGCCUGAUACCUGCUGGAGAGUCCCACCGCCUUGAGCUUCUGGGUCGAGAAAGGCCAAGUUGCACACUACUGAGAGACUGCCAUGCACCCCCUGGAGGCCUCAGAACAUUCGACAUGCUCCAGUCAUGGCCACGGCAGUGACUGCUGAUUGCCUAACCCCACAUGUGUUCUCCCCCUUCCCUGAUAAUCAAGCCCCUGAUUUUCAGCUGGGCACAAAAUAAUUCUUCCUAGGACAACUCCACGUGUGUUAUCGCCCUUGCAGCUGGGGGUGGCCACCACUGGGGAGAGGCAGGGUGAAGAGGUGGAAGGAGCCUGAGUUAGCAGGGAUGAGCAGUGGCCAGGUAACCCCAGACCCAUUAUCCUCUGGAUUUCUUUUAUGUGAAACAAUAAAAUGUCUUGUAUUCGA